UACGGAGGGUGCAAGCGUUAAUCGGAAUUACUGGGCGUAAAGAGCGUGUAGGCGGCCAGGUAGGUCGGUUGUGAAAACUGGAGGCUCAACCUUCAGAGGUCGACCGAAACCAUCUGGCUAGAGUCCGGGAGAGGAGAGUGGAAUUCCUGGUGUAGCGGUGAAAUGCGCAGAUAUCAGGAAGAACACCCGUGGCGAAAGCGGCUCUCUGGAACGGUACUGACGCUGAGACGCGAAAGCGUGGGGAGCGAACAGG
rnacentral:rRNA from 1 species